rnacentral:rRNA from 1 species
GAUGAACGCUGGCGGCGUGCCUAAUACAUGCAAGUCGAGCGAACAGACGAGGAGCUUGCUCCUCUGACGUUAGCGGCGGACGGGUGAGUAACACGUGGAUAACCUACCUAUAAGACUGGGAUAACUUCGGGAAACCGGAGCUAAUACCGGAUAAUAUAUUGAACCGCAUGGUUCAAUAGUGAAAGACGGUUUUGCUGUCCCUUAUAGAUGGCUCCGCGCCGCAUUAGCUAGUUGGUAAGGUAACGGCUUACCAAGGCAACGAUGCGUAGCCGACCUGAGAGGGUGAUCGGCCACACUGGAACUGGGACACGCUCCAGACUCCUACGGGAGGCAGCAGUAGGGAAUCUUCCGCAAUGGGCGAAAGCUUGACGGAGCAACGCCGCGUGAGUGAGGAAGGUCUUCGGAUCGUAAAACUCUGUUAUUAGGGAAGAACAAAUGUGGAAGUAACUAUGCACGUCUUGACGGUACCUAAUCAGAAAGCCACGGCUAACUACGUG